CUUGUGCACCGUGUCAUCAUUGUGAACUCUUGUGAGAGACAGAGGAGCGUUGCACUCAGACUCGUCGGCUUCACCAUCAACAGAUCUGAACGUUCAGAGCCAUCUUUCAUGUUGUGAGAUCAGGCCCCCCACUUAGUGUAUUUGACAAGCUGAGUUGGACACUCUGUAUCUCUGAGUGUCAGUUUGUCAAAUACCCCAAGUGAGGUGUCACUUGUCUACAAAAGUAACCCAUCCUGGGUGCCUCUACAGACUGACCAGUCAGCUCUACAGGGUGGCCUACCACACCAACGAAACUGGCAACACCACGGCAACGGGCUCAAAACCCUUUUCUUGUUAAACUUUUGAGGAUAUAGAAAAGGAACGAAGUUUACAGUGGUUAAAGUGCUUUUUAUUUUUAAAAAAGUGUUUUGACACAAAAUGCAUCCAGAAAGUUACAGAGAUAAAAAAUAAGGUUGUGAAAAAUACUGUAUUUAUGUUUUUGUUAUAUUAUGUGUAUUCACACACAUCCAUGUACUGGAAAAAAAUAUUGAUUUCUACAUGACUGCAGUGAACAGCUUUUCAUAAGCCUGCAUAUCUGUAAACCCAUUUCUCCCAUGGAGCAUUUUGCUAAAUUGUUUUGUUCAGCCGUGAUGGAAGUGUCCUCUUCCUGCCAACAUUUGGGAGCAUAUGUUUUUUAGUUUCACUUGUGAAUAUCGGACUUUGACUUGCAGAGGGGGAGAGAGUAGCCCAAUAAAAUACACAGUGCCUCAUG